rnacentral:lncRNA from 13 species
CUUUUUGCCAAGCAGUCUGGAAGCAUUUCUGUUUUUUCUUUCUUUCUUUUUUUUUUUUUUUUUAGCAGAAUUGAACUGUACCAGUGCUUACAAUGGUCUCUAAUUAUCUGUAGAAUUGUGGUGAUGCAGACACCGAGGUCCAGAGAGAGACAGGGUCUUGCUGUGUUUCCCAGCCUGGACUUGAACUCCUGGCUUCAAGCGAUUCUUCCACCUCAGCCUCCCAAAGUGCAAGGAUAACAGGUGUGAGCCACUGUGACCACCCAGAAGCCACUUCUAAGAUCAACUUACAAAAGACUGUGACUUCCAGCUCCCUGCCAUUCUUUCUGGCUCUUCUUGCUUGCUUGGAGGAAGCAAGCUACCAUGUUGUGAGCUGCCUUGUGGAGAAGCCCAUGUGGCAAAGAACUAAGGGCCCUCUGGCCAACAGCUAGAGAGGAACUGAGACGCUCAGUCCAACAGCCUGUGGCAAAUAGAAUCCUGCCAAUAACCACGUUAGUGAUCUUGGGAAGAGAUCCUUCCGAUUUUGAGCCAGGAGAUUUCUGUGGCUUGGGCCAACACCUUGGUUGUGGACUUGUGAGAGACCCAAACCAGAGGACCCAGCCAAGCCAUGCCCAGAGUUGUGGCUUAUGGAAACCAUAAGGUGAUGCAUGCUGUUGAUUUAUGGCUUUCAUUUCCUGGGUAGUCAUACAACAAUAGGUAAAUAAUACACCUUCUUUCUUCCUUGCUAAUUGGAAAAUGGAUGUGAUAAUCGGAACUGACGUCUUAGACAAUAGAACAGACUUGGGAAUUGAGACCCUACGUGGAGUAACAGUGAGAUAGAAGGAGUCUGGGACCCUGCGACACAGCGAUGGUUCUGAAUUGUCUUUCGUUCUCAGCUGACUUCAACCUUUCCUCUUUUUGUGUUACCCUUUUAUGUAAACAAGGCUAUGUCCAGGCAAAAUGGUGAAAUAGGUCACAUUUCCCUUUGAUGCCCUUGUUGUUUCUGUAGCUUCUUUACUCUUUCCUUGAUCUUUUCCUUGUCUACCGCUCAGUCCUCUUCUGUCCCGGUCUAAUGCCCGGUCCUGCCAAGGAUCCCCUUAAAGCCCAGAUCCCAGCCCUGGACAUUUCCCUCUGCCCUCUUCUUGUAGAAUGCCCAGUUCUAAGUUCCAAAGGCCGGUGAGUAGUAUGCUGAUUUGCUUGCAGGAUAUAGGGGCAGUGGCAAGGGUGUGACUAGAAGACUGAAUACUCUAAGCGGAUUGCAAAUGAUAAGAUGUCUGGAAUUGUGAAAGAGAAUUUUUUUUUCUAACGCUGAAGGAAAGAGGGAUGAGGGAAGGCACUAGAAUGCAUGGGUGAAUGAAAAGUGAAAGCCAGCCUGUUGUUGAGAAUACGAAUUGGUAGAGAAUAUAGAUACUAUUCCUUUUGUGACUUUGGGAAGCAAUUUAUGAUUCGUGA